GACGAACGCUGGCGGCGUGCUUAACACAUGCAAGUCGAACGAAGAGCGAUGGAAGCUUGCUUCUAUCAAUCUUAGUGGCGAACGGGUGAGUAACGCGUAAUCAACCUGCCCUUCAGAGGGGGACAACAGUUGGAAACGACUGCUAAUACCGCAUACGAUCUAAUCUCGGCAUCGAGGAUAGAUGAAAGGUGGCCUCUACAUGUAAGCUAUCACUGAAGGAGGGGAUUGCGUCUGAUUAGCUAGUUGGAGGGGUAACGGCCCACUAAGGCGAUGAUCAGUAGCCGGUCUGAGAGGAUGAACGGCCACAUUGGGACUGAGACACGGCCCAGACUCCUACGGGAGGCAGCAGUGGGGAAUCUUCCGCAAUGGACGAAAGUCUGACGGAGCAACGCCGCGUGAGUGAUGACGGCCUUCGGGUUGUAAAGCUCUGUUAAUCGGGACGAAAGGCCUUCUUGCGAAUAGUGAGAAGGAUUGACGGUACCGGAAUAGAAAGCCACGGCUAACUACGUG
rnacentral:rRNA from 1 species